ACACCUACUUCGUUGACGCUCAAAUGCCAGGGACCCGAGAUAUGACAAGAGGAGAAAACAGACACUUUCAGUUCGAUUCUCUUCUUAAACCAUUUUUAUAUCUGAAAAUGUUACUUUUUUCCUGCCUAUUAUUGUACGUAUAAAACUGCACGCACUGAAGCGAGGUGGCAAUCUUAGUUGCUGGAUUAGAAUGUAAAUCUUUUGAGGAUGAGGUCUCCUCACUACGUUUUGUUCAUUUUAGUUUCAUCGUUUCUUCGCCAUGACGUCAAAGUGUUAUCCAGCCCGGAUUGGGACAACGCAGUCACUGCCUAUGAAAACGCGAGCGCACAGUGUAGAGAAAUCACAGAUGAAUCUCCCGAGCCGGACAAGCAAGCUGCAGCCCAAGCCUGCAAACAAGCGUUCGUGCACCUAGAUAUGCUUGCGUUGAACCUUUGCCUCCAAUGGAGAAAGCCUAAAUGUCGUCAACUCCCAGACGAGCCUUACUACCAAUGCUCAAUCAAGGAUCCUAGCUGUGCAUUUCUCGAACCGAUACAAAGACCCAGAACCUUAUACGAGUGUGCCUACAGAACCCUGCACGAGGCAUUGGCAAGCAGAGGUGGAGGCAUAGGCGGAGGCAUAGGCGGAGGCAGAGGCAGAGGUGGAGGUGGAGGCAGUCACAGAGGAAGGCCGCCCCUGUCAUCUAGCGCUGCCCGGCGAUCGCGAGGGCGAGGGUCACCUGGAAGAGGAAGGUCAAGUGGAAGACAAGGAACCGACGGUGCGCGCAACUCCGGCCAAAGAAGCCCAACGCAUCAACUUCCUCCCACUCCCUUGAAUCCUUCAAUCCCUGUUGAUCCAAGUCUGAUUCAUGAUCCUUCAUUCGGCAUAGAUUCUUAUGGAAGUCCUUCACGUGCGUUUAUACGUACUGGUCGUGGUUCGAGAUGGCACCCUUAUGGGAGUCCUCCGCAUACGAAUGUGAGUCCACCGAUAGGUUCAGGUUCGAGGUAUGAUAGUGGUGGUGCGGAAGGCUCUAGAAGACGAAGCCCAACACCUUCCCUCCCGCCAUCUCCUGCAGAUACUUUGAUCCCUUAUGAUCCGACUCUCCCACACGAUCCCUCAUUUGGAGUUGAUGACUUCUCCACAGGGAGUCCUCAUCAAACAUUCUUGGGUGCACCGUACGGCAGUUCACCUCCUGGACCUCCGAUACAACCCUUGAAUCCAGUCCAUGUACCACAUUCACUCACUGAAGAUCCCAAUUUUGGAGGUGAUGCGUAUGGAACUCCAUCAUAUGGUCAAGGAGCAUAUUACACCACAACAGACCAGGGCGGGUCCUCAAGUCGCUAUCAAGGAGUUGAAAGCUCCUCCGCCGGCGGUCAAGAGGAAGAAGAAGAAGACGAAAGUGAAGAUGAUACUGGUAAGUCUGUCUAUUUACUAUCACCGUUCUCUUUGAAAAAGUAAUUAAACAUUAUCGUGCGGUUAACAGCUAAGAACAAUGAAUAGGUAAAGGAGGAGAAUAGCCGUUUAGCUGUGUUCAGUUUAUUCAGUUAAUACAUCGCCGAAGCUUUACGUCUACACUCAGACAUCUUCAGGGCAGAACUAUAAACAAGCAUGAAACUAACAAAAAUAAAUAAAAUACAUGCGCAAACUACCAAACAACUACAUUUAAGCAAAGAUG
rnacentral:lncRNA from 1 species